GCAAGAUACCACGGGCGCACGGCGGAUGCCUUGGCACAGGGAGCCGAUGAAGGACGCGGCAAGCUGCGAUAAUCCCCGGCGAGGAGCACACAUCCUUCGACCCGGGGGUCUCCGAAUGGGCGAACCCAUCCACAGCAGUGUGGAUAUCCCCACCCCGAACACAUAAGGGUGGGGAGGACAACCCGGGGAACUGAAACAUCUAAGUACCCGGAGGAGAGGAAAUCAAUCUCGAGACUCCCCGAGUAGCGGCGAGCGAAAGGGGACCGAUGGCCAAACCGUCGAGCGGGCAUACCCGGCAGGGGUUCCGCCGACGGGGUUGCAGGGCCGCGCAUCCGGGGGCUGCCGUCCCCGGGCGCAGGUCCGGCUGGGGAGCGGAACGGCAUGGGAGGGCCGGCCGCAGCGGGUGACAGCCCCGUACGCGAACCCAGACCGGACGGCGCGACGCGGUCCCUGAGUAGGGCCGGGCACGUGAAACCCGGUCCGAACCUGGGUGGACCACCAUCCAAGCCUGAGUACUACCCUGUGACCGAUAGCGCACCAGUACCGUGAGGGAAAGGUGAAAAGCACCCCGGGAGGGGAGUGAAACAGUACCUGAAACCGUGCGCCCACGAGCAGUCGGAGCAACUUUACGUUGUGACGGCGUGCCUUUUGUAGAAUGAGCCAGCGAGUCGCUGGCGCGGGGCGAGGUUAACCGAAAGGGAGCCGGAGCGAAAGCGAGCCUUAACAGGGCGACUUGAGUCCCGCGCCGCGGACGCGAAGCCGGGUGAGCUAUCCGUGGGCAGGCUGAAGCGGGGGUAAGACCCCGUGGAGGGCCGAACGCACGUCGGUUGAAAACGGCGGCGAUGACCUGCGGAUAGGGGUGAAAGGCCAAUCAAACCCGGAGAUAUCUCGUUCUCCCCGAAAUAGCUUUAGGGCUAGCGUCGCGCGUUCACCGCCGGAGGUAGAGCACCGGAUGGACGAGGGGGCUUCGCCGCCUACCGAAUCCAACCGAACUCCGAAUGCCGGCGGCCCAGAGCGCGGCAGUCAGAGCAUGUGGGCUAAGCUGUGUGCUCGAGAGGGAAACAGCCCGGACCGCCCGCUAAGGUCCCCAAGUUCCAGCCGAGUGGCAAAGGAUGUGCGUCCGCCCAGACAACCAGGAUGUUGGCUUAGAAGCAGCCAUGCAUUCAAAGAGUGCGUAACAGCUCACUGGUCGAGUGGACAUGCGCCGACAAUACACGGGGCUAAGCUGGACACCGAAGCGGCGGGAUUUUAUUCAUUAGAAUCGGUAGGGGAGCUUCCCAUGGGCGGAGAAGCCGGAGGGCGACCGACGGUGGAGCGCAUGGGAGUGAGAAUGCUGGCAUGAGUAGCGAGAGACGAGAGAGUAACUCGUCCGCCGUGAACCCGAGGUUUCCUGGGCAAGGCUAAUCCUCCCAGGGUCAGUCGGGGGCUAAGGCGAGGCCGGGAGGCGUAGCCGACGCGCAGCAGGCAGACAUUCCUGCACCGCGCACGCGGCGCUACGACCGACGGGGCGACGGAUGGGGGUGGCUCGGCGGGGUUCUGGACGUCCCCGUGAUGGAGCGCGGCCCGCGGACCAGGGAAAUCCGGUCCGCACGAGGGCGAGGCUCCGGACGAAGCACUUAAGCGAAGCGAGUGAGCCCGAGGUCCCUAGAAAAACCCCUAGGCAGGCGCGUGCGCGCCCGUACCGCAAACCGACACAGGUGGGUGGGUAGAACAUACCGAGGCGAUCGGGUCAACCAUGGUCAAGGAACUCGGCACAAUGGCCCCGUAACUUCGGGAGAAGGGGUGCCCGCGCGUACGUGAACGGACUUGCUCCGGGAGCGGAGGCGGGCCGCAGUGGAGAGGCCCAAGCGACUGUUUACCAAAAACACAGGACUCUGCAGAAGCCGCAAGGCGACGUAUAGGGUCUGACGCCUGCCCGGUGCCGGAAGGUCACGCGGAGGAGUUAGCCGCAAGGCGAAGCCCCGAAGCCAAGCCCCGGUAAACGGCGGCCGUAACUAUAACGGUCCUAAGGUAGCGAAAUUCCUUGUCGGGUAAGUUCCGACCUGCACGAAAGGCGCAACGACUUGGGCGCUGUCUCGACCAUGGACCCGGUGAAA
rnacentral:rRNA from 1 species